GAUGAGAGACCCUUAGAGAAGAAGGGCGCAUUUCUGGAGUCUUCUUCUCCAAUUUUUAAUGAAGACCUAGCCAACAGACCGCCCUUCAUCUGAAAAGAAAAAUGAAGAACAGACUUUUACAAAAGGAAGGAAAUGGUGCACAAACCUGAGCUUCCUUCUCCAAUUUUGCUGCUUCGUUCCUCACACACACAUGAAUAUGAGAAAGAAAACUUACUCAAAUUCUGAAUUUCAGUUCUGAAACGAUCCUAAACUCCCAAAACAAAAGCGAAAUCCAAAAAAGAAAAAUUCAAAGAAAUUUUCAGAAAAUUGGAUAGCUGUUUCAUCUGUUGAUUGUUGCUGAUUUUUGGGCUGUUGAUUCUGAGUUUAGUGUUGGAGUUCCAGCUUCGAAAUUUAGACCUUAUUUCGUCAUUUUUCUGUUGAAUUUUGUUUAAGGUACGCCACACCCAACUAAACCUAUAUUUUCGAAUUCGUUCUUGCAAUGAAAUUGUAGUUGCGUUCGUCAAUUAUUCUUUUUAGUUUCUGGUUUGUCUGAUCGUUUACUUUGUGACUGCUCUAUUGUGGUAAAAUGACUUAAUAGUGAAUAGUUCAUGGCUUCGUAAUGUAAUUUGUUGCUGAAGAAAUUUCCUUCUACGCGAACGCGUAGCCCAGGUCACGAAUGCGAGGCAGCGGGGGUCUAUACCUUCGCGAACGCGUUCCUGGCCACGCGAACGUGAAUGCCAAAUGGGCCUGGGCAGAGGGAGUGGUAGUUACCAUACGCGAAUGCAACCCGUUGGACGCGAAAUCGGGGGCUCAAGAAGCUAAAGCUAUGCGAACGCGAUCCUGUUAAGCAAACACGAAGGCGUAACCAGCCUAAACCAUCGCAAACACGAGGGGUCUGCCACAAUCGCGUAGAGUAAAAUCGCCAGUUAAAUUUUAAAAUUUCAGAACAGUAGCCUUACGGGAUUUCAUAAAAUUUUUAUAAGCCCCUUCUUCUCCAAGGCUCUUAGGUAAUUUCUGAAGCAAUCCUUCACCAUAGUAUCUUGGGUAAGUAAUCUUUAAUUCAUUUUCUUCUAUUUUCAUCAACAUCUAUUAGAUUUUUAGGACUAAAACAUGUGAUCAAGGGUAGAAAAUUAACAAUUUGGGUAGAGUUAGGGGUUUUUUGAUUAAUAGUGGUUUAGACCUCAUUUUGGGAUCGAAUUCUUAAAAUAAUUAUAUAUUUGGGCUCGUGGGUGAAUGAGUGAUUUGAUUUUUUUUCCGAACCUCGUGUUUUAACCAAACAGACCCGAGGUUGAUUUUUGGGUCUUUUUGGGAAGAAUGAUUGGAAAGCUAUAAUUAAGCAUUGGAUUCGAAUUGUUUAGCAUUUAUGGAUGUUAUGGAGUCAUUAAUGUAUAAAUAAAAUUGAUUUGGAGCCAAAUUUAAGAGUAAAAGCGGUAAUUGAGGAUUGAGUUGGCCGUGGAAGAUUGAGAUAAGUGUUCGGUCUAACCUUAGCUUGAGGGAUUAGGAGUUGAGUCUUAUUUGCCAUUUGUUUCUUGUUGAGUUGUAUUCUUGAAUGAUACUAUGGUUACAAUAGUGAGUAAAUCUGUGGCAGAUAGUAAAGACUUAGUUUAGUUUCGUGAAAAUUACAUUAUGAUCGAGAAAUGGUGAUAAAUGAGAUGAUUAAGAGUUGAGUUGAGAUUGGUUAUAGAUGAUUCUCCCUUGCCAGGACGUUUAUACUUGUACUGUUGAGUUCCCUUGCCGGGAUAGUAUAGUUUAUUUUGAUCCCUUGUCGGGACUGUUGUUAUGAUCAUUGUGAGUUGUAUAUUUGGAACGGGUUGCACGCCGCAAUAUAUAUAUAUAUAUAUAUAUANNNNNNNNNNNNNNNNNNNNNNNNNNNNNNNNNNNNNNNNNNNNNNNNNNNNNNNNNNNNNNNNNNNNNNNNNNNNNUAUAUAUAUAUAUAUAUAUAUAUAUAUAUAUAUAUCGGAUUGCAUGCGCGCAACAAUGUUUAAUGAUAUGGGAUCGGGUUGCGCGACGCAACAGUAAAAUUAUUGCAUUGUCGUAGAUACUGUACUAUUCUUUCAUAUAUAUUUUUGGUUUUAGUUAGGUUGAUACAUUUCGCCGAAGCAUGUGCCCCCUCCCUUUUAAAUGUUAUUUCCUAUUUAUUUUUCCUCCAUAUAUUAUAUAUCUGCACAGGUUUAUCUGGAGUAUGGUUCUAGCCUCGUCACUAUCUCGCCGGGGUUAGGCUAGACACUUACCAACACAUGGGGUCGGUUGUGCUGAUGCUGCACUAUGCACUUAUAUGCAGAUACCGGAGCAGUCUUUGGUCAGCAGGAGUAGCUCGGGAGCCAGCCUUUUCAAUCCACCAAAACACCGAGGUAGACUUUAGGCGUCCGCAAGCCAUACGUCUCCUCUAUAUUAUUUUAUAUUCUGUUAUCUCAUAUAUUCGAGACAAACAAUGUUAUUUUUCUUUCAAAAUGUUGUAUGUAAUAUUCUUAGCAGUCCGUGGAUGUUAUGACACCAGGUUCUGGGUAGAGACAUGUAUUGAUUUUCUAAAUAUUUUGGUUUCAUAUUUAUUUAGGACUUUCGCUAAA
rnacentral:lncRNA from 1 species